ACGUAGGGUGCGAGCGUUGUCCGGAAUUAUUGGGCGUAAAGGGCUCGUGGGCGGUUAGUCACGUCGGGAGUGAAAACUCGGAGCUUAACUCCGAGCCUGCUUCCGAUACGGGCUGACUAGAGGUAUGCAGGGGAGAACGGAAUUCCUGGUGUAGCGGUGAAAUGCGCGGAUAUCAGGAGGAACACCGGUGGCGAAGGCGGUUCUCUGGGCAUUACCUGACGCUGAGGAGCGAAAGUGUGGGGAGCGAACAGGA
rnacentral:rRNA from 1 species